rnacentral:rRNA from 1 species
GACGAACGCUGGCGGCGUGGAUUAGGCAUGCAAGUCGAACGGUAUCAUCCUUUCGGGGGUGAGAGAGUGGCGAACUGGUGAGUAACACGUAGGUUAUCUACCCUCAAGACGGGGACAACCCAGGGAAACUUGGGCUAAUACCGGAUGUGAGCAACUUUUAGUUGUUUGAAAGGUGGCGUAAGCUGUCGCUUGGGGAUGAGCCUGCGUCCUAUUAGUUAGUUGGUGAGGUAACGGCUCACCUAGGCAAUGAUAGGUAGGCGGCCUUAACGGGUGGUCGCCCACACUGGGAUUGAGAUACGGCCCAGACUCCUACGGGAGGCAGCAGUCGAGAAUAGUCUACAAUGGUCGGAAGACUGAUAGUGCGACGCCGCGUGAACGAUGAAUCCCUUCGGGGUGUAAAGUUCUUUUAUAUGUGAGCAGUGCUUCUUAUAUUAACAGUAUGGGGAGAGAGAUAUUAGCAUAUGAAUAAGCAUCGGCUAACUCCGUGCCAGCAGCCGCGGUAAA